GAUGAACGCUGGCGGCGUGCCUAAUACAUGCAAGUCGAGCGAACAGAUAAGGAGCUUGCUCCUUUGACGUUAGCGGCGGACGGGUGAGUAACACGUGGGUAACCUACCUAUAAGACUGGGAUAACUUCGGGAAACCGGAGCUAAUACCGGAUAAUAUUUCGAACCGCAUGGUUCGAUAGUGAAAGAUGGUUUUGCUAUCACUUAUAGAUGGACCCGCGCCGUAUUAGCUAGUUGGUAAGGUAACGGCUUACCAAGGCGACGAUACGUAGCCGACCUGAGAGGGUGAUCGGCCACACUGGAACUGAGACACGGUCCAGACUUCUACGGGAGGCAGCAGUAGGGAAUCUUCCGCAAUGGGCGAAAGCCUGACGGAGCAACGCCGCGUGAGUGAUGAAGGUCUUCGGAUCGUAAAACUCUGUUAUUAGGGAAGAACAUACGUGUAAGUAACUGUGCACGUCUUGACGGUACCUAAUCAGAAAGCCACGGCUAACUACGUG
rnacentral:rRNA from 1 species